UGCAAGCGCACUCUGUGUUACAUUGAAUCGAAAGAUAAUCACAUGUGAUGACAAUUUGUUAACUUGCUAAAUUAAAUGUAAGCUGCGACUUAUCCAUGUGCUCAAGUCUUAAACCCCAACUGAACACAUUGAAUACGCGCUUUACAUUUG
rnacentral:snoRNA from 1 species